rnacentral:rRNA from 1 species
UACGGGGGGAGCGAGCGUUGUUCGGAAUUACUGGGCGUAAAGGGCGCGCAGGCGGUUGGAUAAGUGGGUGGUGAAAACCCCGGGCUCAACCUGGGGCCGGCCACGCAGACUGUCCGGCUGGAGUGUGGGAGAGGGAAGUGGAAUUCCUGGUGUAGCGGUGAAAUGCGUAGAUAUCAGGAGGAACACCGGUGGCGAAGGCGGCUUCCUGGACCACAACUGACGCUGAGGCGCGAAAGCCAGGGGAGCAAACAGG